rnacentral:rRNA from 1 species
AUUGAACGCUGGCGGCAUGCCUUACACAUGCAAGUCGAACGGCAGCACGGACUUCGGUCUGGUGGCGAGUGGCGAACGGGUGAGUAAUGUAUCGGAACGUACCUUUCAGUGGGGGGAUAACGUAGCGAAAGUUACGCUAAUACCGCAUAUUCUGUGAGCAGGAAAGCAGGGGAUCGCAAGACCUUGCGCUGAUUGAGCGGCCGAUAUCAGAUUAGCUAGUUGGUGGGGUAAAGGCCUACCAAGGCGACGAUCUGUAGCGGGUCUGAGAGGAUGAUCCGCCACACUGGAACUGAGACACGGUCCAGACUCCUACGGGAGGCAGCAGUGGGGAAUUUUGGACAAUGGGGGCAACCCUGAUCCAGCCAUGCCGCGUGAGUGAAGAAGGCCUUCGGGUUGUAAAGCUCUUUCGGCCGGGAAGAAAUCGCACAGGCUAAUACCCUGUGCGGAUGACGGUACCGGAAUAAGAAGCACCGGCUAACCUACGUCGCCAGCA